UGUCUGAUUGUUUUCCCUGUUUAGUUUCGUCUUCUCCCCAAAAUGCCCCUACUUUGUCAUUCUAUUCACUUCCCAAACCACAUCCUCUGUUUCAAAUUUCUUCAUUAUCUACGCGACUCGGGCAUGGUAGGUAGAUUUAGCUAUCAAGAAAUUCGUUGAGAGUCGAGACGACGAAGUCCGUGGCUGCACCGCUGAAGCCGGAAAUAGGUCGUCGGCUUCCGUUUACGAUAAGAACAAUGAGUUUCAGUUCAUUGGCAAAUCGCGAUCGCGUGGCGUAGCAGCAAAGCCUAAAUGCCUGCAGGAAAUCUGCUCCGGAGCUCUGUGAUUUCAUCAAGAUCUUCGCCUACAUCCGAAGCCUCAACUUGCUGGUUCAUAUUUGAAAGCAAUAUGGUGGGAAUUAGAACAAAGAAAAUGAACAAGGUCGUCUUCUUCAUGGUAAAUAUGUAUGAUCUCUGUUUUUGACUUGUUAGUGAUUGAGGAAUGUUAAGGAAUUAACGGUGGUUGGCUUGCAAUUUAUAUCAAACAUGCCUUGCAGUUCAGCCGCUGAAAAUAUAACUUAUUCUUAUGAGGUUAUAGAUCUCGAAGAGUCAAAGACUAAAACGCUAAGUGACAAUAUAUCUUUAAUUUUACGGCCGAAUCAAACAAGUGAAGGUGUGGCUAACUGCAGUUGAUAGAGUCACCAUGAUGAUUCCUCAACCAAUCAUUUGGGAGUUUUUUUUAUGGCUACUUUGUUUGUUUGUGUUGUGCUUAAAGUGUUGUUGUUCGUCUGCCACAACUACAUGCAAAUACGAUGCAAUGAACCCAUUUGGGACAGUGUUUGCAAGUGAGAGUUGGAAUUUCUUAUGGUUAUAACUGCAAGUUUACUGUAUGAUAUCCAAAAGUCCAGACAGACAGAGAAAGACACAUGGGAGACAGAGAGGACAGAUAAGUGAUAACCAAUGAGGCCCUUUAUAGUUACGCCCUGAAUUUACCUUUUUACCUGCCAUUUCCCUUCCAUUCAUCUCCAGUUCAAAUGAUUAGUUGAUUAAUUGGCUAUGUCUACAAUAAUUUUCAAUCACAAUUAACUGCAUAUUGUGCAUUAAGGGAAAAAUGAAACAAGUAUUAAAAAAAAGAAAAAGAAAAGAAGAAGCAAACUACAUGCAUUAAAGCAUCCUCAAAUGCUUGUUGAAGGUAUAUUAUAGUAGUUGUUGGUUGGGGAGCCUUUAAAAAGGAAGAAUGCUAUGCAUAGCCAUUCCAAAACUACAUAUAUCUUAGGGUUGGAUAUAAUAUCCUAACCCAAAACUACAAGAUUCAAAUUUAUAGAUCCUUUCACUUUGUUAUAUAUUCAUUAUGAAGUCUCACUUUAUUUGAUGUGAGAUUCUCCAUCUCAACUCAAAUUUACUCUUACUUGAAGUAAACAACCUAAUGUGGUAAUAUUAGAAGGGAUAGUGAGUGGAGUAAAUGGGGACUUGUGCAUAGCCUUUUAAUGGUUUGCUUAGAUGAUAAACACGUGUCAAUUGUUCCAAAGCAACAGCACCACCUUCAUCCUCACUCUCUGUCUCAUGCAAUCAGAUAGUUCCCCCACUGGUUCCACAGAUUGGGCCACUCCUUUACGCCGUAAUCAUUUGUCAUCGCACCACCAUUCCGAUUUGUUUUUCUAGUGAGUAAAAAGAGAGGAGAGAUAUUAUAGAUAAUCUUUUUUUAUUUAAAAAUAGCUUA